rnacentral:rRNA from 1 species
CCCUUAGAUGUUCUGGGCCGCACGCGCGCUACACUGACGAAUGCAACGAGCUUAUAACCUUGGCCGAAAGGUCUGGGUAAUCUCCAAAUUUCGUCGUGAUGGGGAUAGAUUAUUGCAAUUAUUAAUCUUCAACGAGGAAUGCCUAGUAAGCGCAAGUCAUCAGCUUGCGUUGAUUACGUCCCUGCCCUUUGUACACACCGCCCGUCGCUCCUACCGAUUGAAUGGUCCGGUGAAGCGUUCGGACCGUGGCCUUUGGACGGUUCGCCGUCUGUUGGCUGCGGGAAGUUCGUUAAACCUUAUCAUUUAGAGGAAGGAGAANCCGUANCA